UCUCUUGAUAUAGUUGAACAAUUAUCUUCAGCAUACCCAAUGUCGAAGAUCGAAGAGAAUUCUACAGGAGACCAAGCAAGGGAACAAACCAAAAACCCCACUUCAUGUAGUGCUCAUAUAGCAAGGGCCGUGGCAACCUUUGGCCACCAUUAAGGUCCGUCCUCGGGCAUACUCAAUACUCAACUACCUCCAUCAAGUACCGUUCCAUCUGUUCGCGCUUGAACUCCUAGUAUCAUUUAUUGAAGAAAAAAAAAAACCUCGAUCAUUAGUAACUUGUCUUUGUCCUUGCAUGUUCCGUCAGAUCGACCUACAGUGUCCUUGUGUCACCCGCGGGCACAUGCAAAAGUGUGUCACUCACGCGAGAGUGCCAUGUCAAUGCCACGAGCCCAUGACGUCCGUGCCUUGACGUCACCUGUCGCGCUCGCGCACCGUUCGCUGACGCUCGCACCGAUGGAAACACAAACAACGCCGAAGCAGGACGGAGGUCACCUCCGCACAGACGUACACAUCCUGGUUCGUCUCCGACUCCGAUCCAUUAUAGGUUGGAGUGGUGCCGUCGUCACGUCCAUCCUGAAAUAAAGUUGGUCGUGACGCCUCCGUUGGAUGCAGACGCACGCCCUCGAUCGUACCAAACAAGUCGCUGCACAGACACAUUGUACUGUAUUGGCAUCAUGUAUCGGUUUCAACCUCCUUUUUUUUUUGUCGAGAUCCGUCAAGAUUUGCUUGAUGUUCGUCCGGCGAGGAGAGGUCAAAUAAGUGGGGUUUGAAUUGUUGAGAUGAGUUUGGCAGCUGGUCGCGCUACGAUAGUGCUUGUUUCGUGGAAUGUAAGGUAAACGAAUUACGUAGCGAUAACAGAUACCAUUACGGGUGUUUAUUUCGACUCAGU
rnacentral:lncRNA from 1 species